GUGCAAGAAUGGAUUAACACAAAUUCUAUAUACGAUUUUCCAAACUUCAUUUUCUUAUUAUAAUGAGCCAUAGUUUAAUAGUACUUUUGCCACAUUGCCUUUUCAUAACUAUAGCUCUAUCAUUAAGAAAUGUAGGCAUCUCUAGAAAAUAAUAAUCAAAUGUAUACCAUCCACUCACCACAUUAUUUCACGUGUAUUCCCUGUAUCAAGUCCGUGACAGCAGCCGGCGAGGGCCUGGUUAGCGGGAGCACUGGCUGCGUGGUUUUGAUUUGCAUUUCUCUAAGGAUCAGUGAUAUUGAGCUUUUUUUCAUGUUUGUUGGCUGCAUGUAUGUUUUAUUUUGAGAAGUGUCUGGGCAUGUUCUUUGCAUACUUUUUAAUUGGAUUAUUUGUUUGUUUCUUGUAAAUUUGUUUAUAGGCGUUGCAUAUUGGACCUUUGUCAGAUGCAUGGAUUGCAAAACUUUUCUCCCAUUCUGUAGGUUGU
rnacentral:lncRNA from 1 species